rfam:Bacillus sp. LF1 genome assembly, contig: CONTIG000001
UUCUUAUCAAGAGUGGCGGAGGGACUGGCCCUAAGAUGCCCGGCAACCGGUUUGAAACACGGUGCUAAAUCCAGCAGAGCAUGAAGCUCUGAAAGAUAAGAA